GCCUCCGCGUCACCUGACCUCCAGCCAAGCCCUACUCUGUGAAUUACCAGCACCUGCUACAGCUCGUUAGGUCCCCUACUUAACCUCUCGGUGUUCUGCCAGUGGUUGUCAGUUCGUCUGCUUACCCUGCCUGUGAUACUCCUGCCUUUUUUCCCCGAACCGAUCUUUGUAGCCACCUGCUUCCGCGCCUUUCGACCACGCUUCUGCUCGCCGCCCGUCCUGACAACCAGCUCGCCCUUCGACCACGCUUCUGCUCGCCGCCUGUCCUGACAACCAGCUCGCCUUUCGACCACGCUUCUGCUCGCCGCCUGUCCUGACAACCAGCUCGCCUUUCGACCACGCUUCUGCUCGCCGCCUGUCCUGACAACCAGCUCGCCUUUCGACCACGCUUCUGCUCGCCGCCUGUCCUGACAACGUGCUCGUCCUUCGACUGCCUGCCUGCCUCCGACUACUCCUACGCGCUGUGCUCUGCCACGCCAGCCCGACCGCAGUUGCAGGUGAGAGGUGAGCAUCUGGAUCAUCUCAUCGCACCGUGCCCUUGACGUGGCUUCUGUGCACGGCGCGAUUCCGUCUCUGGCGCUCCGCCACAGAUGAGUUGAGGCCCUGCGUGAGCGCCGGGAGGCCAACGGCGGUCCUGGGGGAGGACAAAAACACAAUUCCUAACUAGAACGUAGACUGGAGGCAGAUGGCAAGACCAAAACAGUCGCUGAUUCUUUUUCAGGCUUCCACUUGACUAAAAUAGUACCUGACUUGUCUACAAAAGUAUUUAAGAGAUAUUUUUAAACACCAAAGUGUUUUUUUUUUCCACACUUGGAUAUGGAAAGGUGCAUUGAAGUGUUUGACACCAAAUAUAGUCAAGUAGGGCUGCAAUUAAUGAUCAUUUUGAUAAUCAAGUAACGUCAUCUAUUUUGUUGAUUCAUCAAAGAAUUGUAUUUAAAAAGAAAACAAGUUUUAAUUCCUAUCCCUUCAUUCAAAUACACAUGUAAGGACAAAUAAAAUGAGAAUCACUUA